CCACCCUAACACUGUGACCUCGAGCACAUUUAGAGGUCAUUUAUCAAAAGGAUUUAUGCUUGAAUAAUUUGACUUCAUUUAUAACCCCAGACUAUGUUUACUCUGUAAAACAGGAAGAACCCUCACGUUAUUUAAACAGUGGCACUAACUGUCGAAACAGACUGACUUAGAAGAGUUACAUUCCAGUCCUGAAUUACAAACUCAGUUCUAUACGUAUUCCAGAGAGUCAUAUGACGACGAUUCCAUCUCAAAAUGGCGAGCGCCGUAAAACGUGUUCUGCUGGAGGUGGACUACUGCCAAAGGGUCUAAUCAAAGAAUUUGCUCUUGAUUAGGACUACAGCUGAUUGAGACCAUUUUUCAGGCAGGAAAAUAAGCAUCGUUUGAGCCUGAAGCAAACUCAAAGCUGGCUAUAUGCCAUAUUCCUCUGCAACACAGUAGAAACUUCUCUAAAGCAACACAAAUGUAUGUUGCCUAAACCGGGAAGCACCAAACCCAAGAGUCAGGGUGGCUCAGGGACCCAUUUUGGAUGUAGCCAAAGCGAGCCAGGAGCUGUAACAUCACAGGAAGAGCACCCACUGCCAGCUCUGGCCUCAGGCUACUUCCAGGCUCAACAGGAGCUGCAGCCUUGCACCAGGCCAAUAUUCCAUAAGGAGCCCGAGACCCAGCGCUGCUGCCUCGCACAGUAACAAGAGGGUCAUCAGCACAUUGCCUCCAGGAGGGAGCAUCUCCUGGUUCCUGUUGACUUUUUGGCAGAACGCCACCUCUACUUUGGAAAAGGAAAAUACAGUACGGCACACCACACUCAAGAGGAGCAAACCCUGCUCUACACCAUCAACAAGUAACCAGGGUCCACCCAACAUCAACACCUAUUAAAGAAAACUGGAUUACUAGGAGAGAUUAGAGAAAUUGUAUCAAACUAAUCGGUCCCAGUGUUUUCUACAUUAAAAUGGAAUUCACAAAAAAACCCACAUCACAAAACAGCACAGAAAAACAUUAUCUAAAACUUUGCUGGCUACUCUUCCUGCACUCCCGCUUUCCACGCUUAGCAGCGUCAGAGACAGAGCCAUGACAGAAAGCCAACAAAAUAUGGUCUUCAGCAUUAUAGAUACAAUAUAGCGACAUAUUUCCAAGUCCUCUCUUUAAUCCAACGCUUUAGACAGUUUCUUCACCUAUUCCUGGGAUCUGAUGAAGACAGUUAUCUACAGGAAAGUAGACUGACUCCAAGAUAAAUGAGAAAAGCAGGAAACAAGCUAGUUAGUAAAGGUAAAUUCUCAGAUGACUCAGAGUUGAUGUCUGUAUGUUUUAAUUGUACACAAAAGCAUUUAAAUAUAUUCCAUGAUUGAAA